rnacentral:rRNA from 1 species
UACGAAGGUCCCAAGCGUUAUCCGGAUUUAUUGGGUUUAAAGGGUGCGUAGGCGGGUAUAUAAGUCAGUGGUGAAAGCUCCGGGCUUAACUUGGAAACUGCCAUUGAUACUGUAUAUCUUGAAUGUCGUAGAGGUUAGCGGAAUGUUGCAUGUAGCGGUGAAAUGCUUAGAUAUGUUACAGAACACCAAUUGCGAAGGCAGCUAACUAUGCGAUGAUUGACGCUGAGGCACGAAAGCGUGGGGAGCAAACAGG